UUUUACAAGCAGAACUUUGAAAAUCACUAUGCAGUCCAAUUUACUCAGCCUUUACUUUGAGAAAGAGAUGCUGAGAAAGAUGGGCCCUGCUCUGCUCCUGGGAGUGAUUGUGCCUCAAGAUAACGUCUGCCGCUGCCGCCGCCAUGUUGGGAUCAUCACCCAGGAAGUUUCCUCUUGCCCCUUCCUGCCAGCACAGCUCUCCAAACAAGCACUUUUCUGUUUUCAGUCUUCCAUCACGUUUCCUCUUCAAUGCUUUAUAUAAUGAGGUCAUUCCAUACGUCGUAUUUGUGUCCAUUUUCUUUUCUUCAACAGAGACUCAUCACGGUGUUGUGGGAUGCAGCGUCUGUUACCUGUUAUUGCUGAGCGUGUUCCGUUGCGUGAAUAAACCACAAAGCGUUUCUUCACUGGCCCGUUGAUGGACGUUUGAGUAGUUUCCAGUUUGGGGCUACUAUGAAGAGAGCUACGAUGUUUUUGUAUCAGGUUUAUGAUGAACUGAUAAAAUGAAUUGUGAAGUGUUCCCUCCUUCUCUAUCUUCUUAAAGACUUUGUGUAAGGAGGGAGUUAUGCAAACAUGCAUUCUAGAUCUUUUUUCUCAGAAGUCCUAACACAAUGUUUUUAAUAAAUCCUCGUUCAACAAAUGAAUUAACAACUAACAGG